AUUGAACGCUGGCGGCAUGCUUUACACAUGCAAGUCGAACGGUAACAGGUCUUCGGAUGCUGACGAGUGGCGAACGGGUGAGUAAUACAUCGGAACGUGCCUAGUAGUGGGGGAUAACUACUCGAAAGAGUAGCUAAUACCGCAUGAGAUCUACGGAUGAAAGCAGGGGACCUUCGGGCCUUGUGCUACUAGAGCGGCUGAUGGCAGAUUAGGUAGUUGGUGGGGUAAAGGCUUACCAAGCCUGCGAUCUGUAGCUGGUCUGAGAGGACGACCAGCCACACUGGGACUGAGACACGGCCCAGACUCCUACGGGAGGCAGCAGUGGGGAAUUUUGGACAAUGGGCGAAAGCCUGAUCCAGCAAUGCCGCGUGCAGGAUGAAGGCCCUCGGGUUGUAAACUGCUUUUGUACGGAACGAAAAGCCUGGGGCUAAUAUCCCCGGGUCAUGACGGUACCGUAAGAAUAAGCACCGGCUAACUACGUGCCAGCAGCCGCGGUAAUACGUAGGGUGCAAGCGUUAAUCGGAAUUACUGGGCGUAAAGCGUGCGCAGGCGGUUUUGUAAGACAGUGGUGAAAUCCCCGGGCUCAACCUGGGAACUGCCAUUGUGACUGCAAAGCUAGAGUGCGGCAGAGGGGGAUGGAAUUCCGCGUGUAGCAGUGAAAUGCGUAGAUAUGCGGAGGAACACCGAUGGCGAAGGCAAUCCCCUGGGCCUGCACUGACGCUCAUGCACGAAAGCGUGGGGAGCAAA
rnacentral:rRNA from 1 species